UGAGUGGUGCCGCAGCUCACGUGAUCGCUGGCUGCGCUGCCUUUGGUGCCGGCCUGGCGCGCGGCACGGCUUCAGCUCCCGGAGCCCGGCCAUUCCGUUUCAUCUCAUUAAUUAUCCCCGAUUUAUGCUGAAAUUUGGACGAGGCGAUUUUUCACUUCCCAGCUCCCAGCGCUUUGGCUUUGGGGAUGCAGGUGCUGGGGCGGAUCUCAAAGGAGUGGCUGCCUGUGGGAGAAGGAGCAAAGCAGCACGUUUCCUUGGUGGUCCGUGAUUUCUGAUGACACCAAACUGCCUGGUGUGACUGAUGGAAGGAAGGGAUGCCAUUCUGAGGGACCUGGGGAGGGCUGAGAGUGGUGUGUUGUGAACUGCCUGUGAUUCAACCAGGCCUGGUGCGUAGUGCUGCACCUUGGUCAGGGCAAUCCCAAGCACAGAGGCAGGCUGGGCAGUGGGUGGAUUGAGAGCAACCAUGAGAAGGACUUGGGGCUCUUGGUUUAAAUACUGAACACAAGCUGGCACUAUGCUCAGAGUUUGGAGCACUCCGUAGCACCUCUGCUAUGGAGGCAGGUUGAGAGUUGGGGGUGUUCAGCCUGGGGAAGAGAAGAGUCUGGGUAGACCUCAUUGUGGCCUUCCAGUUCAUUAAAGGGCUGCAGAACAGGGAGGGACUCUUUGUCAGGGAGUUAAGUGAUAGGACAAGGGGGAACAGCUCUAAGCUAUCAGACUGCAUGUUUAGAUCAGACAUCAGGAAUAAAUUCUUCCUUAUGAGGGCGGUGAGGCACUGGCACUGCUGCCCAGAGCUGCGGUGCUCCAUCCCCAUGGUGCCCAGGGCCAUGGAUAGGGUUGUGGCCAUGGAUGGGGCUGGCUUGUCUUUAAGCUGCCAUCCAUCCCACACCAUUCCACGAUUCUAAAAGUUAUCAAAUAUCCUGUUUCAGUAGCACAGCUCUGUUUUCUGCUUUAUUUAUUUUUUCCCGUAACCAACCACCAGAUGUCCUUUGUUAGUUCGGUCCCUCAGUUUUAUCCACAAGCUCUCAACCUGCUCAUGGCUAUUUCUCAAAGGCAGCAAUGGUGAAGUUCACACUCCUGAGAGAUAUUGUACAGACAAGGAGUAAAACCAGGAAGCUUAAUUUUAGGAAAGCCAAAUUCCAGUUCUGCAUGGAAUUUGUCAACAACCCCCACUGGGAAUCUGUCCUCGAGGUCAAGGGAGCAGAGCAGAGCUGGCAGAUCUUUAAGAAAGCUUUCCUCAGGGUGCAGGAGCUCUUCAUCCCGGGGUGUAGAAAGUCAGGAAAGGAAGGCAAGAGACCUGCAUGGCUGAGCCAGGAGCUGCUUGUCAAACUUGAGAGCAAGAAGAACAUGCAUAGGAGGUAGAAGCCUGGGAGGAGUACAGGGAUGCUGUUGGGCUGUGUAGGGCUGGGGUCAGGGAGGCCAAGGCCCAACUGGACUUGGCAAGGGGUACAGAGAAGAACAAGAACAGUUUCUACAGAUGCAUCAAUCAGAAAGGAAUGUGCAAAAGGGUAUUCUCCCCCCAGUGAGCAAUGCAGGCAGGCUGGUAACAACAGACAAAGAGAAGGCUGAGGUGCUGAACAACCUUUUUGCCUCAGCCUCUGCUGGUGACUGCUCUUCACACAUCCAUCUAGCUGAUGGGACUGAAGAAGCAAUGGCUCUCCUGCUGUAAGCAAAAAACAGGUCCGUGUCCACCUGAGGAACCUGAACAUCUACAGGUCUAUUGUCCCUAUGAAAUGCAUCCCAGGGUCCUGAGGGAACUGGCAGAUGUAGUCACCAAGCCAUGCUCAGUGGUAUUUGAAAGAUUUUGGUGGCCAGUUGAAGUCCCUGGUGACUGGAAUAAAGGGCACAUCACACCCA